UUAAGGGCGUAUGGUGGAUGCCUUGACUCCAAUGAAGUGAUGAAGGACGCGACAUGGCGGCGAUACGCUACGGGGAGAUGCCUAGUAAUCUUUGAUCCGUAGAUGUCCGAAUGGGGAAACCCGGUGACUUUUGUCAUCACCCUACGAAUUACGUAGGGAACGCACUCAGGGAAGUAAAACAUUUCAGUACCUGAAGGAAAAGAAAACAAUAGUUAUUUCGUUAGUAGCGGCGAGCGAAAACGAAGAAGCCCAAACCUAGUUUCAUUCUCACAACGCGAAUAGAAUCACUUGUGAUUGCUACCGGUUCACUCGGUCUCUGUGUAAGUUUACUUACACAUGACCUCGUUGCCGGAAGUCGUUUUGUGGGAUUGAUGCUGGGGGUUGUAAGGCGGAAACGUCAUUAAUUUAUUAAUGAGAAAAGUUAAAAAAUGUUUGGUUAGCUGAAGCUUCUGGAAAGUAGCACCCCAGUGGGUAAUAGUCCCGUAAGCGAAAAUCAAACAACUUUUUUGUUUCCGUUCUUGAGUACCUCGAGACACGAAUACCUCGGGGGAAUCUGCCGGAACUAACCGGUAAGGCUAAAUAUUCUUGGAGAUCGAUAGUGAACUAGUACCGUGAGGGAAAGGUGAAAAGCAGCCCGGUGAGGGCGGUGAAAUAGAUCUGAAACCAUAUGUUUACAAGGAGUCGGCGAGGGGCGGAAGCUCCUCUACGGCGUGCCUAUUGAAGAAUGAGCCAACGAGUUUAUGUAUACUGCGCGGCUAAGUCCCGAUAAAGGAUGGAGCCAUAGGGAAACCGAGUGUGAAUAGCGCGAUAGUAGUAUGCAUAAGACCCGAAGCCAGUGCGAGCUUGUCAUGAGCAGGAUGAACUUUGUCGAAAGAUGAAGGGAGGUCCGAACCGGUGAGCCGUUCAACACUCUCGGAUGACUUGUGAUAAGAAGUGAAAAGCUAAUCGAGCCUGGUAAUAGCUGGUUCUCUCCGAAAUAGCUUUUGGGCUAGCGUGACGUGUUCCCCUUGGGGGUAGAGCACUGGAAGGUUUGGACAGGGAGAAAUCUCGCUAAACCUAUCAAACUCCGAAUACCAAGGACUAAAAACGUUGCAGUUAGACUCCGGGGGCUAAGCUCCGGUGGUCAAAAAGGAAACAGCCUAGAUCUCUAUUUAAGGUCCCUAAAUUCAUACUAAGUGCACUUAAGGAGGUGAUAUUUCUCUGACACUGAGGAGGUUGGCUUAGAAGCAGCCAUCCUUUAAAGAAAGCGUAACAGCUCACUCAGUAAGAGAUAUUGCACCGCAGAUUCAUGGGGCUAAGUAUGGUACCGAAACUGAGGGUUUGUAUUUUCUUCGGAAAAUAUAAGCGGUAGGAGAGUAUUCGCAUCUGCUGUGAAGGCAAAGGGGUGACCCAUGCUGGAGCGUUGCGAAGUAAGAAUGUUGGCACAAGUAACCACAAUGCGGGUGAGAAACCCGCACGUCGAAAGAUCAAGGUUUCCUUGGCAAUGAUUGUCAGCCAAGGGUUAGUCGGUCCUAAGGGAAUGGUGAGAACCGCACUCGAUGGACAUACGGUUAAUAUUCCGUAACUUUUGCAGUAAGUGAUGGGAGGACGGGGGUAAGUAUAUAACGCGCACGAUUGGAUGUGACGUCUCUUGUUUAAGGAAGUGCUCCAGGAAAAUCCGGACACUGGCUUUAAGGCCGAUUCCAAGAAAGGGAGAAACGCAGCGGUUCGCCGUUGUGAAUGUUAUAAAGCUACCCUCCAAGAAAAUUCUCUAAACUUAUUACUGUAAAACCCGUACCGCAAACCGACACAGGUGAUCAGGUCGAGAAGACCAAGACGAACGAGUGAGACGUCCCCAAGGAACUCGGCAAAAAAGCAGCCGUAACUUCGGAAUAAGGCUUGCCCUGGGCAUCACAUGGAAUGGGAUGGCCAGUAGACAGUAAAAAGUAGACAGCAGGCAGUGAGAAUGCAAUUCGUAUUCAACUGUUUACUACCUACUUCCUACUAUUUACUUGGAUCAUCGCGCUUCGCGUGAUGCUCGGGGCCGCAGCUAAAGUAUCUCUGGCAACUGUUUACCAAAAACACAGCUCCCUGCGAACUCGCAAGAGGAUGUAUAGGGGGUGACACCUGACCAAUGCCAGAAGGUUAAACGUCGGCGGUGAUUUUCGCAAGAAAUGAGCUGACUGAUGUAAGCCCUGGUGAAUGUCGGCCGUAACUAUAACGGUGGUUUUGCUACGCUUCUUGGCUUUUGCCAAGAAGAAACAAAAAGGGCCGUUGUAAAAUUUGGCUAAAUGCUGGAAAACCCGCAAUGAACUUUUGGUACCUUGAUGGUAAAAAUCCAAAAGCCGACGCGGACAAUCAGCAGGAAAGAUUCUAAGAGUGUCAUCUAAUACGAUGACAAAAGAAAAACAAAAAGAAUACUAUGAUCGUCUGUCAAGAUUGCAAGGAAAAUAUCUCAAUUAUUUUGUUGCAGGAUUUGUGGACGGUGAAUCGAGUUUCAGUGUUGCAAUAACGCGACAAAAGUAUCCGUCCUUAACAAAAGGAUGGAGAUGGAUUCUUAACCCGGUCUUUAAUGUUUAUCAACACGAAAACAAUAAAGACAUACUCCUUCUUUUAAGAGAUAAAGUAUUCAAAACUGGCAGAAUCCAUAAAAAAACUUCUCCGUAUAAUGUAUUUACUUAUACGAUUGAAAACAAUAAAACGCUUCAUGAAAAAAUAGUACCCUUCUUUAACAAAUAUCAACUUGCUACUAAGGCAGAGGACUUUAAAAAGUUUUCUCAAGUGGUAAGCAUGAUGAAUGAAAAAGUUCAUCUUGAUAUCGAAGGAUUCAAGCGAGUUGUAGAAAUAGCAUUUACAAUGCAUGCUCAGGGUAAAAAUCGAAAGUACUCGAAAGAAUACAUUUUCGAAACA
rnacentral:rRNA from 1 species